AUAGAACGCUGGCGGCAUGCUUAACACAUGCAAGUCGAACGGUAACAGGCCCCUUCGGGGUGCUGACGAGUGGCGGACGGGUGAGUAAUGCUUAGGAAUCUGCCUAGUAGUGGGGGAUAACCCGGGGAAACUCGGGCUAAUACCGCAUACGCCCUACGGGGGAAAGCGGGGGACGUUUCGGCCUCCGCGCUAUUAGAUGAGCCUAAGUCCGAUUAGCUAGUUGGUAGGGUAAUGGCCUACCAAGGCGACGACGGUAGCUGGUCUGAGAGGACGACCA
rnacentral:rRNA from 1 species